GGAAUCUUCCACAAUGGACGAAAGUCUGAUGGAGCAACGCCGCGUGAGUGAAGAAGGUUUUCGGAUCGUAAAGCUCUGUUGUAAGAGAAGAACGUGUGUGAGAGUGGAAAGUUCACACAGUGACGGUAACUUACCAGAAAGGGACGGCUAACUACGUGCCAGCAGCCGCGGUAAUACGUAGGUCCCGAGCGUUGUCCGGCUUUAUUGGGCGUAAAGCGAGCGCAGGCGGUUUCUUAAGUCUGAUGUGAAAGCCUUCGGCUUAACCGAAGAAGUGCAUCGGAAACUGGGAAACUUGAGUGCAGAAGAGGACAGUCGAACUCCAUGUGUAGCGGUGAAAUGCGUAGAUAUAUGGAAGAACACCAGUGGCGAAGGCGGCUGUCUGGUCUGUAACUGACGCUGAGGCUCGAAAGCAUGGGUAGCGAACA
rnacentral:rRNA from 1 species